AGGAAGUAAGAGUAGAGUUGGAAGAAAUAAGAGAAGAGUCGAGCCAAACUAAAAGAGGAAACUAAUAUAAUCUCUCUGCAGAAUGCUGCAAAGCAACAUCGUCUAGAUCUGAAACAUAAGAUCAAGCAGAAGUUGGUUUGCUGCACUCUGCUGGGAGAUUAGAUUAGUUUCCUCUUCUAGUUUGACAGCCUCUUCUCUUAUUUCCUCAAACUUCUCCCUGACUUCCU
rnacentral:pre_miRNA from 1 species